CGGGGUGUAGUAUAACGGUAGUACGCUACUUUGGGGUAGUAGUAACCCGAGUUCAAUUCUCGGCACCCCGACCA
rnacentral:tRNA from 2 species